UGAUUUCAUCACAAAGAUUCAGAGCGAUUUCAUCUCAGUGAUUUCAUCGCAGAGAUUCAGAGAUUCAGAUCGGUCUCCACCAUCUGCACCAUCGUCUACAUCAUCAUCUACACCAUCGUCUCCUAAGUUAGCCCCAAUCCAAGAUUGAUCCAUAUGAGGUUAGGGCCCGUGCUAAACAGUUUGUGCAAGAUCAGCGCCGUCUGAAGGUCACUAUGUUGUAAUAUGUGGCUAUGAUGCUAUGACAGAUGAGUUUGAGAUUAGAGAUCCAGCGAGCUCUGGGAAACAUGAGAAGGUCACAUCAAAGCGCCUAGAAGAAGCUCGCAAAUCCUUUGGAAUUGAUGAAGAUCUUCUCUUGGUAAAUUUAAUACAUCUUCAUAAAUUAUUCACUCUAGAGGGUAUAUCUUAAAGGAUGGGAUCUUCCUUUUAUGAUCUCAUAUUGUUUGAAAUGUCUUGCUGGCUAUAUUUUUGUUAUCGUGCAUUGAAGGAAUGGGAGCUAUAUUCAUUUGAAAAGUUAUAAAGGAUGAUACUGCAGAUUUUCACUUUCUAGAAUUCAGUGUGGCUGCCUGGAAAAGGA